CUAGCAUGUGCAAGGUCCUGGGCUUGAUCCCCAGUACCAGCAGGGAAAAAAAACCCUAAGACAGAUGAUUUGGAAAAACACAUCUUUUUCACUUAUUCCAUUUUCACAUCCUCAGAUUUAAGCAUAUAAAAUUGGCCUCAAUUGUUCAUCUGUGAAAAUUCUCAGUUUGAGGCAAUACCACAUAAAUAGCAGCUUUCAGAUCUCUUCCAAAAUGGAGUUCCAGAAGUUCUUUCAUGAACAGACAAGCACCUCUUGGAGAGCCCUAAGGCAAGAUGCCUUCUACAAAGUGGAGUCUCCUUUUGGCAUGAUGGUGAGGCUUGUUUUUCGAAAUCUCAUUUUAAAAUCAUUGUGCGUGGUCCCUAUAGGCUGAAUAUAAUAAACACCCAAGAUCAGGACUUUAUUAAAGAAAUACAUGUUCUUUUCAUCAUCCAGUAACCCCUUGAGUUGUGUUAGGUGAUUGCUCCAAAAUGUCAUAGUUAGAAAGGAGCUGAACAGGCUGGAUGGAGUGGUGCACAUCUGUAAUCCCAGCAACUCUGGAGGCUAAUGCAAGAGGAUUGCAAAUUCAAAGUCAGCCUCAAGCAAUUUAGCAAGGCUCUAAGCAAUUCAGUGAGACCCUGUCUCUAAAUAAAGUACAAAAUAGGGCUGGGGGCGUUGCUCUGUGGUCAGGCCCCUGAGUUUAAUCCCUGAUACCUGGGGAUAUAGCUCAGUUGGUGGAGUGCUUGUCUCCCAUGCACAAGGCCCUGGGUUCAAUCCCCAGCACCACAAAAAAAAAAAAAAAAGGAGCUGAACAAAGAUUCAAACCCAAGCUUUCACUUUCCAAGUUUAUUUAUUCAAUAUUUUAGAAUGAUUCUGGCAAAAACAGCAGUAAACAAAAUCCCUUGUACUUUCUAUUUGCUGAUCCUUCCACCAUUCAUCCUUGAGACCUAAAACCUAAAGGACAAAGGAAGCCAGACUCUUGCUCAUCCUAUCAGUUCCAUUUCUAGGAACUUAAGAAAAACUGGACAUCUCUUCUGUUUGCAUCCCCUUUUAAGAUCUGAUAGGGUGACUAUGAUGUUGCUGUACUGACCUUUGUGAAAAGAUAAUCCUUUCUCUGUGCAAGGACCAAACAAAGGUCACAUUUUUUUAUUUGGGUGUUGUCUUUGAAAUGACACCUAUGUAAAUUAGAAACAAAGGUAAAGCUUGUUUAGCACUUAAACAUUGUCGAAACUUUUCAUUUUCCUAAGGGAAAAGAAUUGUAGAUAUAGGAAGGUAUUCAAUCUUGUUUUCCCAAGAAGGGGUAAGAAAGACCUUUAAGUUGUAGGAAAGUGACAUGCCACUUUUUAUUUAAUUAUCCAGCUUAUCCCCUUCUAAGGUAGUAAGAUUGAUUGAUUGAUUGAUUUUUGAGAAUUGAACCCAGGGCCUUGUGCAUGCAAGGCAAACACUCUAUCAACUGAGCUAUAUCCCCAGCCUGGUAGUAACAUUCUUGAUGUAGCAUGUUGCUUCCUGAAGCCCCUAAUAUAUAAUAGAAAAAGUAUAUCUUUAUUGUGGGAUGUGGCUUUUUUUUUGGUGGUGGUGCUGGGG
rnacentral:lncRNA from 1 species